CUUUUUCUCUGUCCUCUGAAGAAGUCAAUGGCAAAUCAUUUUGAAACCUUGCCAAGAAAAAUGCAGAAACUAGUCCAGGCAGUC